GCUGGAGGGAGGGGUCGCGCGCGGCAGGCCGGGAGAAGGGGUCACAGCUGGCUUAGUGGAGGGAGGUGUGGUUGGCAGCACCUGCCUCGAGCGGGGGCAGGAGGAAGAGCUCGCCUUGGUGCCGGAGCGGAGCGAGCGUAGGCGGUCGUCAGGAUGAAGAGGUACUGCUACUCCUGUUGCAUCAGCACGCACAAGUCAGUACGGCACGGGCGGGAGGAAAGACAGAGGAAGACUCUGCUCCUCGUCGUCGACGACCGCCGUGAUGGCGUGGGGAAGACAGGGAAAGAGUCUAUAAGGACGUCGCUUUGUUUUUACGACAAGUUCACCAGAGGACGAGGUCAAGUGAUCAACCUAUCUAACUACCAAGUUAAACGGGUGCGGGCACGUGGGGCUCGAUUGCGGUAGAAGUCGUUUGAGAAGGUGGUUCGUAGAGCUGAAACCAGGCCGACGCGGACAAUGCUGGUGGAGAAGGAACGAGGGGAAGAACGGUUCUAGACGACGUCCAAGCUUACGGAAGUCAAGUCACGUUAGAGAGGGUGGUCAGUGACUUUCAAAAUACGGAAUACGGGACAACGACGUGGCGGGGCCGGCAAGUGUCGGCGGUGGAGCCCGGCAAGAUGUUGUAUCGCGAUUCGGCAAGAUGCGGCGUCGAGCUCUCCACUUCCUCGAGGGGAACCCAUUAAUUUACAACCUGACCCAAGUGGAAUCACAACCUGAAUAGUCAACACUGGAUGAAACCAAGACUCUUUCUCGACGAGCUUACGUACAGUGUACAAAAACGAACUCGACCGGAAUUGAAGAUCAAGACAAACGUGAGAUACUACCGUUGCACAAGAUCACGUUCAGAUCAUUAUAUAGCAGAAAUAAAACCGAGAUGUUACCAACGUUUGAUCUUUACAAGAGGUGGAGUUUGCAUGAAGUAAGAAGGUAAAAAAAUAUCGAUAAAAUAAAACAAGGAUCAAGUGAGCGUUUGACGCUAUCGCCGGUGGUGAUUCCCGUAAACGAAGGUCGUGUCCUCGAUGUACGAGCUGCCAACGCGUGACGGCGGUACCUGUACGUGUUUCUAUAAUUCAUGUUCAUACAAUCAAGUCAAAAAAUGAUAACUAAAUGGAACAAAUUCAUCAUCACGUCGUUAUUUUCCACAUCAACAUGACUGUAAAAACAACGAUAUACCCCUUGGGCCCCCGGUUAAUAAAACCAAAAGUCAAGGUUGAAAAGACAAGAAAAGUUAGGCAUACGAAAUAACACGUUAGAACUCCUUUAGGGGUUUUUAGUACACACGUGAGUUCCAUCAAUUCACGGAAACAUUUUAAAACUGUCAGGUAGAGUCUGAUUCGUUUGUCAUGUACAAUCAGAACCAAACACCAAUCUGUACGUUUGUCAUGUACCCACAUGACAGCGAGAACGAAUAAUUCCGGACGUAGCUAUCAAUUAGAACUUGACCUACACAAUAAGAUACAAUCCACUUACUUCGGAGCCCCGGUCGUCGGUGGACGCGAUGUCUUAUGUUCACAAACGUCAAACGAGUGGUCUUACAACUUACUCUGAUGUAGUAAUAAUGAGUUUUUUAAGUAAAACAUAAACAAGUCUUAACAAGAGACAUAGACACCGUUUCUUACUAAAAAAAGACCAAAUUACGUUAGGAGGACACCUUCGUGAUUUCACGUGAUGGACAACUUGACUAUGACUUCUGUUCCUCGUCCUGGUUCACACGACCUUCAAAAAAACAUGGGUACACGCCUUCGUGAAAUAAAAAGACUAUUAAUAAUAACACAAGUACACCCACGAACUUUUCAAGAUAAGUUAUUAUC
rnacentral:rRNA from 1 species